AGAAUGAAAGUAAAUGAAAAAGAGGAAUAAAAAGGAGAAGGAAGUGGUCCGCGGGGCUGGCAAAGUGCCUGACAAGAUAGCCUGGGAGCAAAGCAUGCUGGGAGGCAGAAUGUGGACUCCUCUUCUCUUUAAUAAAGAA